UACGGGGGGAGCAAGCGUUGUUCGGAUUUACUGGGCGUAAAGGGCGCGUAGGCGGCCACCGCAAGUCGACUGUGAAAUCUCCGGGCUUAACCCGGAACGGUCAGCCGAUACUGCGGGGCUAGAGUGCAGAAGGGGCAACUGGAAUUCUCGGUGUAGCGGUGAAAUGCGUAGAUAUCGGGAGGAACACCUGUGGCGAAAGCGGCUCACUGGACCACAACUGACGCUGAGGCGCGAAAGCUAGGGGAGCAAACAGG
rnacentral:rRNA from 1 species